UACGGGGGGGGCAAGCGUUGUUCGGAAUUACUGGGCGUAAAGGGCUCGUAGGCGGCCAACUAAGUCGGACGUGAAAUCCCCAGGCUCAACCUGGGAACUGCGUCCGAUACUGGAUGGCUUGAAUCCGGGAGAGGGAUGCAGAAUUCCAGGUGUAGCGGUGAAAUGCGUAGAUAUCUGGAGGAAUACCGGUGGCGAAGGCGGCAUCCUGGACCGGCAUUGACGCUGAGGAGCGAAAGCCAGUGGAGCAAACGGG
rnacentral:rRNA from 1 species